rnacentral:rRNA from 1 species
UACAGAGGGUGCAAGCGUUGUCCGGAAUCACUGGGCGUAAAGGGCGCGUAGGUGGCCUGGUAAGUAGGGGGUGAAAUCUCGCGGCUCAACUGCGAGGCUGCCUCCUAAACUGUCAGGCUCGAGCAGAGUAGAGGCAGGUGGAAUUCCCGGUGUAGCGGUGGAAUGCGUAGAGAUCGGGAAGAACAUCUGUGGUGUAGACGGCUUUCUGGACCGUAGCUGACGCUGAGACACGAAAGCGUGGGUAGCAAACAGG